AAAGUGAUGAUUAUUUGUUCUCAUCAUAAGUUGAUUUAUUGAUGAAUGAAUGUCCUCUAAGAAGUACUGAUUGU